AUGCUCUCGAGACACAUGCCUGGAGGUGCCCAUGGGAUCCUCUCGCUGCUGACCGUGGCGUUCGUCCUCCCGGAGGUGUCCGGGCUCCAGUGCUACGGCUGCAACAUCAUCGUUGGCACCAAGUACGUGGACAUGGGGUGCUCGAACCCCGAAGUGAUCACCUGCUCCCACUCCCACCAGGGCUUCAAACACCGGUUCUGCAUUAAGACAGAGAGCGGUGAGUCUGCCCGGCUGUCUGCCCAAAGCAAACCCCGUAGCCUUGCAGCCUCCCUCCCUGAUGCCCCGCGCUCUGCUUGCUUUCCAGUGGUCCUGGGCAGCCUGCUGACCAGCGGCUGUGCCACCUCCCGUCACUGCCAGCAGCAGGAGCUGCCGGGGGUCCGCAUCCACUGCUGCGACACCGAUCUCUGCAACGGCUCCCCCCGGCCGCCCCCCGGCCUCGACGGCGGCUGCCUCCUGCUGCCCUGCCUCCUGGCAGCCCUGCUCCUUUCCUGAGCCCCCCGCAGGGCCUGGGGUGGGGGUGUCUGAGCUUUGGAGGGGGCAGGAGGGGACGUGCGGCCAUCCCUGCCCCUGCAGCGGUGAACAAAGCCCUCCUCGCCCCUCUCCUCAAUAAAAGCCGAUGAAUGUUUUGCCCUGGAGAGGCC
rnacentral:lncRNA from 1 species